rnacentral:rRNA from 1 species
CAGUCGCCGCGGUAAAACGAAGGGUGCAAGCGUUACUCGGAAUUACUGGGCGUAAAGCGUGCGUAGGUGGUGGUUUAAGUCCGUUGUGAAAGCCCUGGGCUCAACCUGGGAAUUGCAGUGGAUACUGGGUCACUAGAGUGUGGUAGAGGAUAGUGGAAUUUCCGGUGUAGCAGUGAAAUGCGUAGAGAUCGGAAGGAACAUCUGUGGCGAAGGCGACUAUCUGGGCCAACACUGACACUGAGGCACGAAAGCGUGGGGAGCAAACAGGAUUAGAUACCCCUGUAGUCCCUGUCUCUUAUAC